rnacentral:rRNA from 1 species
CUACGGGCGGCAGCAGUGGGGAAUAUUGGACAAUGGGGGGAACCCUGAUCCAGCCAUGCCGCGUGUGUGAAGAAGGCCCUCGGGUUGUAAAGCACUUUCAGUGAGGAAGAACGCCUGGUGGUUAAUACCCAUCAGGAAAGACAUCACUCACAGAAGAAGCACCGGCUAACUCCGUGCCAGCAGCCGCGGUAAUACGGAGGGUGCGAGCGUUAAUCGGAAUUACUGGGCGUAAAGCGCGCGUAGGUGGCUUGAUAAGCCGGUUGUGAAAGCCCCGGGCUCAACCUGGGAACGGCAUCCGGAACUGUCAAGCUAGAGUGCAGGAGAGGAAGGUAGAAUUCCCGGUGUAGCGGUGAAAUGCGUAGAGAUCGGGAGGAAUACCAGUGGCGAAGGCGGCCUUCUGGACUGACACUGACACUGAGGUGCGAAAGCGUGGGUAGCAAACAGGAUUAGAUACCCUGGUAGUC